UACUGAUUGGCAUUGAGUGGAACUGCAGGUUCAGUAUUUCCCUUCUUGUUGCUGCAUCCGGUAAGGGCACAUAAAUGAUCCUGUCAAUUCUUCCAGGCCUCAUCAAAGCCUACAGAGACAGAACAUCAAUACUUAGCUAUGCUUAGAACUAACACUUCAUAUCAAAGGCAGUCAGGAAAAGAGAGAACUUUUUCAUAGUGUGUGUAUCCGCACAACUAUUACCCUCAACUAACAAAUAAGUACUAGAGGUCCCAUAAUCUAUUUCAGGAUAUAAACAGUGCCUAGUUGAUUUCUGAAGAUAGGAAAACAAUAGUUCAGGAAACUUUCUGAACAACUGCCAAGGUAAAUAGAAAACAGUAACAUUUAGAGGAAUGUGCAUAUGAUAUGUACUGACUAUAUGAAUUUUUUUUUAAAAAGCUUCCUUCAAUUAACUCAUAAAAUAUAGAAUAAGCUAUUUGCUGUUAAGAGAGCCCUAAAUAUAUAGCACAGCUAUGAUAAAGGAAUAGGCGUAGAGAUAAAUUUAGUCAAUUGCAUGUUUUUAGCAUUUUACUGAAGGCUAAUGCCUAUAUUGUGCCAGACCCAAUGAACUUACUCAGAAAAUUUACUGAGCAUGUGUUACUAGCCAGACAGUUUUGGUAUUGAGAAAAAGAACAAAUGUGUAAAGCUAACUCUGGUGACAAUUACGCAAAUUUAUGAAUAAGAACCAAUAAAGAUGUUUUAAAUGAGUGAAUUUUAUGGCAUAAGGCAUCUUAACAAAGGUACUGAAAUAGAUGUGUAUCUUUGAGAGAAUGGAGUAGCAUUUAUAUGGGCCAAUCAGAAAAGUCUUGUACAAAUACUCAAAGAACCGAGACACAUGAAGAGAUGUUGGAAGAGGAUUCAAGGAAAAGAGAAGAUCAAAUACAAAGGAAAACAAGUGGCACAUGGUGGGAAAGAAAGAAACCCAAAGAGUCUGAGGCAUAGUUAAUAAUGAAAACAAGAGGUAAGAAGUGAGAUCAGAAAGGCACAAAACACACUGUAGAAAAAUAUUCUACUGUUAACACUUAAAAGUAGAAAACCAAGAUGAUAAAAUUUACAUUAAAAGAUCACUCUUAUGGAAUAAUAAAAAAAAAGGUCUACUAUGUCACAAUCAGAAUUCUAGAAGGAAAACAAAAAUUAUAACACAAAAAGACCUGAAGAACUAAGGGCCUCAAAUUUUCUCCAAAUAGACAAGCAAAACACAAAUUCACAGUCAAGAAGCUCCAACAGGAUAAAAAGGUGUUUCAGUCUAAGAUCUAAGAUCUUUAAUUAAAGAUUAUCUUGAACUAAGGUCACACAGGGGACACUGGAAUCAAUAAUCAUUGGAACAUGGUCCAAGAAUGGAGUUGUGGAAGGAGAAUUCUGAAUGCUUGUGAGAAAACACCAGGAAGCAAUUUGCGAAUUCAGUUUCUUCAAAACACAGAACUGUUCUUGGAAUGUGUUUUCAUUUUCUCAGCUGUUAUUAUUCAUAUGCCUCUCUGGAAAACAUAUUUUUAUCACCUGUAGCUUGUGACUGUAUAGUUUACGCAGGGGACUCUUCGGACCCCUCAGAGUACAAAUUGUCUGAUGUUCUGAAUAAAGUUGGCUACUGCACGAGACUUUAAUCAUUCUCAUUUUUUAGGCCCCAUUCUUCCAGGAUCAUGCUGCCAACUAGAGCAGGUAAAAAACUAAAGGCCCUCCAACCCAACACACAGGCAGUUUAUCAGGGGAAUAACAUUUUCAAAGUGCUGAAACAAAAAUGUUACCCAGAACCCUACUGAUAAAAAAAUAACCUUCAAUAAUGAAGGAUAAACAAAGUUUUUUCAGAUAAAAGAACAACAACAAUAAGGUUUCAGGAGAUAUUUGUCACAAAACUGGUCAAGAAGCUUUACAGAGUGAAGGCAAAUGAUACAAGGUAGAAGACAAAAUCUUCCACAAGAAAUGAAAAGCACUGGAAAUUAAAGAGCUCAAAAACUCUUUUCCCUUUCAAAACCACUAAAAAUAUCAUUCUUACUGCUGGUAUAAUCAGAAAGGGCAGUCUUUAGAGCUCAUUUUAUGAUAAACGCCCACAAUGACAGCAUUCGGAUGCAAAGGCAGCACAUGGAAGUUCAAGGCACAUCUAGAAUACAGGAGAAGUUUAAUACUAGUCAGGGGUAACUUUGUAAACCCCAUGUUAAGUGAAAUUAGAGCUGACUUCAAUGGCCAGAACCAAACCAAACCGAACCGAACCAACCAACCAAAAAUUAUACCAUUAAAUAAACAACAACAACAAAAAAACUGUACCAUUAAAAUUAUACGACCAUUUCAGAACAUAGGAAGGAAUAUUCAUUAAACUGUUUUAUAAUGUUAGGCUAUUAACUUCAAACUCAGCAAAGAUUAUUAUAAAGAACAAACAUUACAGAAUGGCUUUUAUAAACACAGACCACCUAAUCUUCAAAACAGUGUCAAACAGGAUCGGAUUUACAAAACAGAUAAAUAAUCAAAACCAAGUAAGAGUUAUUGUUGGAACAAAAGGUUGGGCUAGUAUUUGAAAUUUAAUUAGAAUACUUCAUUGUACUGAUUUAAAAAGUAAAAAAACUAUGUCCAUUUUGAUACAUGCAGAAAAAAAAAACACUUGGCAAUCAAAUCAAGACCUACGGAUGACGCUAAACUCAUCAAACUGAUAAUAGCAGGGAUCUUCUUCAAUAUUAGAAAAAAUAUAAAGACCUACUGAUGACGCUAAACUCUCAUCAAACUGAUAACAGAAGGGAUCUUCUUCAAUAUUAGAAAAGACUGCAGACUGGAAGGAAUGGCAGAAACCACAUUCACUCAUCUGUUCAACCAUGGCAUUCAUGAGCCACUUAAUAAAUAUUCACUUGGUUACGCAAGCCAAUAAAGCCUCUUGGAGCCAAAAAGCCUUGCGGAUGCUUUCCUGCUUGAAGUCCUGCACCUCCCCAACGUCCUUCCUCCCUUUCUCCCUAAAAACCAUUGUUGAUAUAGUAGGUAAUUAACAUUAAAACUGUAUUACAACUGGGUCCAAAAAUAAAAAGAACUUCUAAG